rnacentral:tRNA from 9 species
AAAAUCCGUUGGUCUCACAGGACCGUGAGGGUUCGAUUCCCUCUAUCCCCA